rnacentral:rRNA from 1 species
UACGUAGGGUGCGAGCGUUAAUCGGAAUUACUGGGCGUAAAGCGUGCGUAGGUGGUUUGUUAAGUCUGAUGUGAAAGCCCUGGGCUCAACCUGGGAAUUGCAUUGGAUACUGGCAGGCUAGAGUGCGGUAGAGGAUGGCGGAAUUCCCGGUGUAGCAGUGAAAUGCGUAGAGAUCGGGAGGAACAUCUGUGGCGAAGGCGGCCAUCUGGACCAGCACUGACACUGAGGCACGAAAGCGAGGGGAGCAAACAGG